UAGGGAAUCUUCGGCAAUGGGGGGAACCCUGACCGAGCAACGCCGCGUGAGUGAAGAAGGUUUUCGGAUCGUAAAGCUCUGUUGUUAAGGAAGAACGAGUGUGAGAAUGGAAAGUUCAUACUGUGACGGUACUUAACCAGAAAGGGACGGCUAACUACGUGCCAGCAGCCGCGGUAAUACGUAGGUCCCGAGCGUUGUCCGGAUUUAUUGGGCGUAAAGCGAGCGCAGGCGGUUAGAUAAGUCUGAAGUUAAAGGCAGUGGCUCAACCAUUGUAGGCUUUGGAAACUGAUUAACUUGAGUGCAGAAGGGGAGAGUGGAAUUCCAUGUGUAGCGGUGAAAUGCGUAGAUAUAAGGAGGAACACCGGUGGCGAAAGCGGCUCUCAGGUCUGUAACUGACGAUGAGGCUCGAAAGCGUGGGUAGCAAACAGG
rnacentral:rRNA from 1 species